rnacentral:lncRNA from 1 species
UGCAAACGUUUAAUACUCAACAAUAAACUAACUAUAACUAUAAAUCAAACAAAUCUGCAGUAGAAAUUUUCAUAGACGACUUUUCAUUCAUUCACAAAUUCAAACCAUAGUCUCUUCUCUUCAUGCAUUCAAGUCUCUUUUUCUCUUCGUCUGCUUUCCCCCAUUGUCACAUAUUAUUUCUGCUUUUGUUUAGUCUCUUUUAUUCUCCCGAUCCCUAUUUACCAUGUCAAAUCAUCUCAAGUUACAUAAUAAAAUAUGCAUAUAAAAAUCAUUCUAUUGAAGUGUAUGUCAAGUAUUAGAUAGUGUUGUCGUCAUUUGAUCUAUCAGACAGCACACAUCUUCAUAUCUAGAACACAAUCAAUGGACUAUAUAUAUUAUAACAUCGAAUUUUUAAGAUCAUCACAAGUUGGCUUCACA